CAUCUUUCCCUGAAGCCUUUGUAUGUGACUAAUGCUGCGUCAUGAGAUUCUAGAGUUACACAAAGACACAAACACACAAACACACACACACCCGGACCCAGAGGACAGACCAGACCCCUCGGAGCUGCGCUGUGAGACCGACCGCUGGAGGAAACGUUAAAUUGGAGCCAUGCUGUGAUAUUUAUGCUCCGCACUGUGUCGGGUUGUCAGCUGGGUCACUUCCUGUUUCAGCUGCUCUGAGAAGGACAGGAUGCCCGGAGGCCCAGACCAGUGUGGAGGGCGGCCGAACGUGUGGACGGUUUCCAACCAUGCAGUCCCAUCCAGCCAAAAACCUCCAUAAGCAGCAGGUCAAAGGUCAGGGUCCGAGCUGCUCUCUGCGCUUGUUUUAAUGACGACUCGUCUGAAAAGUCCUCGUUGGGAAGGUGGAUGAAGUCUGACGGCUGACAAGCGCAGCAGUGAGUCUGUCUGAAGCGUGCAGCACUUCAGCGAUCUCUUCUUCUUCUUCAUUAAAAACCGUCCUGCUCAUCACCAAACUGUGUCAGUGAUUACUGGACCUGAGAGGGAAACUGGCAAGUUCAAAAGGUUAUGCUUCUUUUUUGUAAACUAAAAAAGUGUAAAAAUGUCAAAAAAUAGAAUAUCUUCGCGAUUAAAAACUGUCCAUGUUGGGUUUAUGUCUCACUGGAGGAGUUAAAUCUUUUUAAAAUCAAUAUUCAGAGCUGCUAACUUCAUGUAAAGUGUUGUUUAUUCUCAGGGUUUCAAAGUGAAAGCUGUUCAAAGUUC